UCUGCGCCCCGGCCUGAACGGAGCUCUUUUUAUUUUUCUAGGGAAAUAAAAAAGCGGGAGUGGAGGACGGAUAAAGGC
rnacentral:misc_RNA from 1 species